CUUAAGUGAUUGAAUUCAAACCUCUUCAAGCUUGCUUCGGUUGUCCUCCUCGAGCCUUGGAUGCGCCGCUCCUAGCACUUGAAACACUUUAAACUUAGUUUCAUUACAAGCACUUAUUCUUGAAUAAGCUCUCAUUUCUUUAAACAAUAUUUUUAAUCUCUCUUGAAUAUAUUCUUGAAAAUUCUACAAUACACUUGAAGCCGAAGACCAUAUUUGAACAUUUUAUGAAUCUACAAAUUAUAAAUCCAUAGUUCAAUUACUAGUAUAAAUUAUACUAAUCUAACUUCAUUAUAAUCAUAUCAUUUAAUUAUAUAAUAUACUAAGUUUAGAUCACCAUAAUCCUUAUAAUUUAUUUCAAUUCUUGGCUAAUAAUAUUAAAAGAAAAUGUCUUGAUUAUCUAUUUAUGUGUUCAAGGUGAAACAAUCAUCAAAAUCUAAUUCAAAUGCCCAAAUAAAAAUAAAAUAAGCAUAACAUAUUAAAACUCAUAUUCGACACGUAAGGAGCUACAUCUCGACGUCUAUUCCGGCCAAUUCGACCUUAGAUCUCAAGAAGAAAACCUAUGAUUAGAACGUCUACGACAUGAGCUACAAACCCCUAACUUAUUCUCCCUCACGGCAUCGAUUUGACGCCGGAAAGUAGACUCAAACUCGCGCGGAAACAAUCCCGCACAGACCCGACACCCUGACUUGAUUGGCUCAUAACUCCCUCGUCCGGUGUCGGAUUGACGAUCCGAAGGUACCGUUGGAAAGCCAACAACGAUAGCUUUCCAAUGGUACCUAUAUUGAUGGGGUUUGAUGACAGAAAACAGAUGAAAAACGGAUCGCAAGAUACGACCCUGCUGCUGUCAAAAACAGGGGAAAAAAAAAACACAGAAAAACACAUGCCGGCAGCCACCACGCCGCCGGAACUACUGUUCCGGUAAUCCCUCCUCCUCACUCACACACAACAGACUCCAUCCCACCAAUAUCUACUCAAGACCUUUAGCCAUCGAUUAAGAAGAACAAGAAUAGAAGAGAAGUGAAAAACCCUUUCAAAUUCAACAAGCAAAAUCGAAGAAACAAGAAUUAGGAGAAAUUACCUUGAUGGCUGCAGUAAAUCGAUGAGUGGUGAAGAUGGAGAGAAGAGAAAAGACGCAGGGGAGAGAAGAUAGGGAAAUUACCAAACCAUAAGCAUAUCCUUAUAUAUAUACAUGGAUUAUCUAUUAAAAAAUCUAACUUAUACAAUAAAAAUCUAACACUUUAUAAAUAUUUUAAUGCUAUUUGCUAAUAAAAUCUUAGAUAUUUUUAUCAAUAGCAAUUCUAGAAUAUUCAAGUUUAUUCAUUAAUAUUAUAUGACUUAUUACAAAAAUCCAUAAUAUUUUUAUAUUAAAUCAAUUCUAGAAUAUNGAGAUUCCCACCAGUGGCUUGCUUCUUCGGCCAAUUGAUAGAUCGCACACGAGACUUUUUGCUCUUCACUACAGCCCAUAAGCUCAAAUAUUCGUUCGAGCUCACGAAUCCAUUCUUCCGUGUCUUCAGGCCCUUCGGUUCCCUUAAAUCUUGGUGGACCCAUCCUUCGAAACUGUUCAAUAAUUUCAAAAUUCCUUACUCGAGGUUGUCCAGCAUUCAUGCCACCAUCUUGUUGUUGUUGCAUUGGAGAGCUAGUAGAAAUUGAGCAAAAUCAACCCCAUUGUUAUUCACAGGUGGGGCUCGCUGCUCAUCUUCCGGAGCGCGUCGCGGGGGCAUUAUCCUUUAACUAAAUCAAGAUGUUAAGAACCUAAAGUCAAUGUCCUAACGAUUAUAUUUCGAGGACUAAUUCUGUUAGAGCAUAAAUCUAUGUAAUAUAAGUCAAUCAAGAUCAUUGAGGAAACUUCCAUCUCAUUAUUUAAAAUAUAUUCUAUCAAGCUUUAUCAUUGAUGUGUCGGAAAAUUCAAAACAUAGCCAGUAAUCGUAUCAACUAAACCUUAAAAUCAUUCUUUGUCCCUUGUGGACACACAUAUUCUUUCACAUUAUUCAAAUUGAUACGAUCAAGCUUUCAAACUUUUGUUUUUUUUUUUCGACACGAUCAUUUCAUACUAAUACCAUAAUUUUAAGCAAAAUAAAAUUAUUUAAUUAAUACAUAUUACCUCGGAGUCGGCAUAGAGCAGCAUCCACGAACCACAUUCUCUCCCGAUUCGAAGCAUGUCACAACAACUCAUAUAUUACUAAUAAUUAUAUUUCAUAUGCAAGUCUACAAGAACGUAGACCUGCUCUGAUACCACAAUGUAACGCCCCCAUCCCUUGCGAAUAGGAGAUGCUACCAAAAAUAUUCAUUUAUUUCAUUUCUCUAAUAUUAAUUUAAGUAUAGGCUAUAAAGAAAAAUAGAAAAAAGAAUUUCCUUUUUGAUAAUAUAGUAAUCUAAUAAAUAUUACUAUUAAAAUUAAUAAUACUUAACCAAUGAGUUAUUAAAAUAUACUAUAUGUGUAAUAGAAAAAUUAUCAAAAUUUUAUUUCUCUUUUCCAAUAUAAAAAAAUAUGUAACGGAAGCUGUAAACCUACAAUAAUAAUCCUGCCAAAACAAUAUAUAUAUAUAUAUAUAUAUAUAUAUUUCAAAGGCAACGGAAGCUGUAAGUUAUAUAAACGACAUUCAAUAUAUAUAUAUAUAUAUAUAUAUAUAUAUAUAUAUAUAAAGGUGGAGUACAUACAAAAUAUAACCAUCAAAUUUAAUAAUAUAAUUAACGUGUUCGAGGCACAGCUCGUAUCUACACAUACGGUAAACAAAAUAUAUAUAUUCGGUCACAGCCGUCAUCAAAAUGCAUGAUCAUAAACCAAUAUAUAUAAAGUCUCGACCCACCGAAAUUGGAAGAGGCUAAGUUGGUUAGUAGCAAGAUAUAUUUACCAAAAACAGCAACAUAUAAUACUUCAUCAUAUAAUAGAACGGGAGAAUGUGGAGCUCCAUGUCUGCUGUCUUGCCGUCAACUCCUUAACCUGAAAAGAAUCAUAAAUAAUAGGGUAUGAGUGUGCAAGCACACUCAGUGGGGUAAACACUGCAAGCAGUUAUAACCAAUUGUGUAAUGAAUCAUAACAUGUUGAACUCUUAUAAUUUUUCACUUAGCUGACAUCUUGUGAGACUAGUCUCGGUCCCUUGUGGACCUGACCCCUUGUGGGCCGUUCAGCUCUUUGAUCCCUUGUGGAUCCGACCCCUUGUGGGUCCCAUUAGUUCAUAUGAAUGACGCACAACACAAUAAUGAUUAUAACCAUGUAACAACUACGCUUACAGAUAAAAGUAAACCCCACCUUAAGUGAUUGAAUUCAAACCUUGCUUCGGUUGUCCUCCUCGAGCCUUGGAUGCGCCGCUCCUAGCACUUGAAACACUUUAAACUUAGUUUCAUUACAAGCACUUAUUCUUGAAUAAGCUCUCAUUUCUUUAAACAAUAUUUUUAAUCUCUCUUGAAUAUAUUCUUGAAAAUUCUACAAUACACUUGAAGCUGAAGACCAUAUUUGAAAAUUUUAUGAAUCUACAAAUUAUAAAUUCAUAGUUUCAAUUACUAGUAUAAAUUAUACUAAUCUAGCUUCAUUAUAAUCAUAUAAUUUAAUUAUAUAAUAUAUUAAGUUUAGAUCACCAUAAUCCUUAUAAUUUAUUUCAAUUCUUGGCUAAUAAUAUUAAAAGCAAAUGUCUUGAUUAUCUAUUUAUGAGUUCAAGGUGAAACAAUCAUCAAAAAUCUAAUUCAAAUUCCCAAAUAAAAAUUAAAAUAAGCAUAACAUAUUAAAACUCAUAUUCGACACGUAUGGAGCUACAUCUGGACGUCUAUUCCGGCCAAUUCGACCUUACAUCUCAAGAAGAAAACCUAUGAUUAGAACGUCUACGACAUGAGCUACAAAACCCCUAAACUUAUUCUCCCUCACAGCAUCGAUUUGACGCCGGAAGGUCGACUCAAACUCGCGCGGAAACCUUCGCGCACAGACCCGACACCCUGACUUGAUUGGCUCAUAACUCCGUCGUCCGGUGUCGGAUUGACAAUCCGAAGGUACCGUUGGAAAGCCAACGACGAUAGCUUUCUAAUGGUACCUACAUUGAUGGGGUUUGAUGAAAGAAAACCAAUGAAAAAUGGUCUGCAAGGUACGAUCCUGCUGCUGUUGGGAUUAAGAAAAACAAGAAUGGAAGAGAAGUGCAAAACCCUUUCAAAAUCAACAAGCAAAAAUCGAAGAAACAAGAAUUAGGAGAAAUUACCUUAGUAUGCUGCUGGGAUUUGAAGACGAAGAGAGGGAUGAAAGAAAAGUGGUGAACGCAGAGAAGAUGGAGGUGAGCGAGCGAGAGAAGAGAGAGAUAGUUUCUGCAAUCUUUUCUUUUUU
rnacentral:lncRNA from 1 species